rnacentral:rRNA from 1 species
CGCUGGCGGCGUGCUAACACAUGCAAGUCGAACGGAGAAUUUCGAAGAGCUUGCUCUAAGAAAUUUUAGUGGCGGACGGGUGAGUAACGCGUGGGUAACCUACCCAUAAACUCGGGACAACCCUUGGAAACGAGGGCUAAUACCGAAUAAUCUUAGAAUGCGGCAUCGCAGUUUAAGGAAAGGUGGCCUCUGUAUAUGCUACCGAUUAUGGAUGGACCCGCGUCUGAUUAGCUAGUUGGUGGGGUAAAGGCCUACCAAGGCGACGAUCAGUAGCCGGCCUGAGAGGGUGAACGGCCACACUGGGACUGAGACACGGCCCAGACUCCUACGGGAGGCAGCAGUGGGGAAUCUUCCGCAAUGGACGAAAGUCUGACGGAGCAACGCCGCGUGUAUGAUGAAGGUCUUCGGAUUGUAAAGUACUGUCUUUGGGGAAGAAUGAUGUAUUUGAAAAUAUUGAGUACAUAUGACGGUACCCAAGGAGGAAGCCCCGGCUAACUACGUGCCAGCAGCCGCGGUAAUACGUAGGGGGCAAGCGUUGUACGGAAUUAUUGGGCGUAAAGGGCGCGUAGGCGGAUAGUUAAG